rnacentral:rRNA from 1 species
CAGCCGCCGCGGGAAUACGAAGGGUGCGAGCGUUAAUCGGAAUUACUGGGCGUAAAGCGUGCGUAGGCGGUUUGUUAAGUCUGCUGUGAAAUCCCCGGGCUCAACCUGGGAAUGGCAGUGGAUACUGGCAAGCUAGAGUGUGUCAGAGGAUGGUGGAAUUCCCGGUGUAGCGGUGAAAUGCGUAGAGAUCGGGAGGAACAUCAGUGGCGAAGGCGGCCAUCUGGGACAACACUGACGCUGAGGCACGAAAGCGUGGGGAGCAAACAGGAUUAGAUACCCCCGUAGUCCCUGUCUCUUAUAC